UAUUUCAGAGUCAGGCAGACCACGAUUUAGCCUAAAGAUUGUGCUGCGGAUGCGGCCUGUGCAGUUCCGGGAGAAAGUCACUGUCUUGGGCAUUGCGGUCUGGUAUCAGGUCUGGAUGAUCCUUGCCUGACUCCGGGUUUGUGUACACCUCAAUCCGACUCCCUGUCCGGUACCGAGGCCGCAGUGGUGCAGCGCUUGUGGACGAUCCAUCAACAUCCUGAAAGGUCAACACUUCACCAAGCUGGGAAAAUUGAUCCUGAUAGUCAUCCCCAGAGUCAGCCAG